rnacentral:rRNA from 1 species
GACGAACGCUGGCGGCGUGCCUAAUACAUGCAAGUUGAGCGCUGAAGGUUGGUACUUGUACCGACUGGAUGAGCAGCGAACGGGUGAGUAACGCGUGGGGAAUCUGCCUUUGAGCGGGGGACAACAUUUGGAAACGAAUGCUAAUACCGCAUAAAAACUUUAAACACAAGUUUUAAGUUUGAAAGAUGCAAUUGCAUCACUCAAAGAUGAUCCCGCGUUGUAUUAGCUAGUUGGUGAGGUAAAGGCUCACCAAGGCGAUGAUACAUAGCCGACCUGAGAGGGUGAUCGGCCACAUUGGGACUGAGACACGGCCCAAACUCCUACGGGAGGCAGUAGUAGGGAAUCUUCGGCAAUGGACGAAAGUCUGACCGAGCAACGCCGCGUGAAUGAAGAAGGUUUUCGGAUCGUAAAACUCUGUUGUUAGAGAAGAACAGGGAUGAGAGUAAAACGUUCAUCCUAUGACGGUAUCUAACCAGAAAGCCACGGCUAACUACGUGCCAGCAGCCGCGGUAAUACGUAGGUGGCAAGCGUUGUCCGGAUUUAUUGGGCGUAAAGCGAGCGCAGGCGGUUUCUUAAGUCUGAUGUGAAAGCCCCCGGCUCAACCGGGGAGGGUCAUUGGAAACUGGGAGACUUGAGUGCAGAAGAGGAGAGUGGAAUUCCAUGUGUAGCGGUGAAAUGCGUAGAUAUAUGGAGGAACACCAGUGGCGAAGGCGGCUCUCUGGUCUGUAACUGACGCUGAGGCUCGAAAGC